UACCAGCACCCCGAGUGGUCGGGACGAUUAUUGCGCCUAAAGCAUCCGUAGCCGGUUUUACAAGUCCUCCGUUAAAUCCAGCUGCUUAACAGAUGGGCUGCGGAGGAUACUAUAAGACUAGGAGGCAGGAGAGGCAAGCGGUACUCAGUGGGUAGGGGUAAAAUCCGUUGAUCCAUUGAAGACCACCAGUGGCGAAGGCGGCUUGCCAGAAUGCGCUCGACGGUGAGGGAUGAAAGCUGGGGGAGCAAACCGG
rnacentral:rRNA from 1 species